rnacentral:rRNA from 1 species
UACGAGAGGCCCAAACGUUAUUCGGAAUUACUGGGCUUAAAGGGUGCGUAGGCGGCGCGGAAAGUUGGGUGUGAAAUCCCUCGGCUCAACCGAGGAACUGCGCCCAAAACUACCGUGCUUGAGGGAGAUAGAGGUGAGCGGAACUUAGGGUGGAGCGGUGAAAUGCGUUGAUAUCCUAAGGAACACCCGUGGCGAAAGCGGCUCACUGGGUCUCUUCUGACGCUGAGGCACGAAAGCUAGGGUAGCGAACGGG